ensembl:lincRNA Crnde colorectal neoplasia differentially expressed (non-protein coding)
AUGGAGACCAGAAGCGGUCGGCUGCUGAAGCGGGCGGCUGCGAGCUAGACUGAUCGGCACGCGAAACCGGAGCCCUGGAGAGCGUGCGGCGGCCUGAGGCUGCCUCUCGGGCUGACCAUUCCGGGUUCGGGGUAGGCCGGAGCUCUUCAGGGAGCGUCCCCGCCCCGACGCGCGGGUCCCCGCCUCCCGCGGCCGCACCGCCCCCCGGCUCCGCCCGCUCAGCCCGGCUAACGGUCGGCGCGGCCUGCCACGAGGGAGCGUCCGCGGCCCGCGCAGAGCCGCGCACCAAGCCGAUGGCGGUGGACGCAGCAGGGCCCCGCGGUCUGAGUGCGGGCAGGCGCGCGUGGGCGUGUCUCCCUGGCCCACGCGUGUCCCCGGCAUCAGUGUCUCGGCUCUGGUCCAGGACGAAGACUUCUGAAAGCGAGCCAAGGAGAAUCACAGUUCUUAACGGAGCCCCUGACUGCCCUGUGGAAGGAGGUGAUUUAGAAGAAAGUGAGACUCAGCUACUGUUCCCAUCGAGAUGCAAAGGACACAGAGCUCACGGGUGCUCCAGCAAUGCUGGUGUCAUGUUUGGAGGUAGCUGACUAUGGACUACAGUAUUCUCCCAGUGCCAGUCUGCAGUCACUGCAAAGCCUCCCAAUAGAACAUUUCUUCCUGAGCCAACCUAUCAGUGCAGCUCAGACUCUGGAAGCAAAUGACCUCUCCUGGCAGAGCCUUCACUGUGUGGGGAACAUCAGAUUUGUGUAAAGAAGAUCACCUGUCUCUUCUCAGGUGAGCACUGUAGAGAAGCUGCUGCGAAGGCCACAGGUCACUCAGGAAAAUUUGGGGCAGUUUUCUAGGUUCAAGGGAGACUGGACAUCAAAGCUGCACUGGGACAUCUGGAUGCCUUGAUCCACUUUGGCCAUUCCACCUCAGCUCAGAAUUACUCACUGGUGUCAGCACAGGAUGUUUCUUGGCUUCAAACCAUUUGGAUAAGUGAUGGCAGCAAGCUUCGCCACUGUAAAGUCACCUCUUUAAAUCUUGAUGCCGUGCCGUGAACCCCAGCUCUCCUACGGGAAGAUGGGAGGCGGAGGCAGGGGUUCAUCUGGAAGCUUGAGGCCAGCCACCCAGAUCCUCAGAGCUGCAGACAAAAGAGAGGCCCUGCAGCAAAAGAGUGGAAGGUGAGAACCAACUCCGGAAAGUUGCCCUCUGACCUUUACAAGUGUAUACAUCCACAUACAUACAAUAAAAUCAAUUGCUCAAUC